rnacentral:rRNA from 1 species
GUCGAGCGAACAGACGAGGAGCUUGCUCCUCUGACGUUAGCGGCGGACGGGUGAGUAACACGUGGAUAACCUACCUAUAAGACUGGGACAACUUCGGGAAACCGGAGCUAAUACCGGAUAAUAUAUUGAACCGCAUGGUUCAAUAGUGAAAGACGGUUUUGCUGUCACUUAUAGAUGGAUCCGCGCCGCAUUAGCUAGUUGGUAAGGUAACGGCUUACCAAGGCAACGAUGCGUAGCCGACCUGAGAGGGUGAUCGGCCACACUGGAACUGAGACACGGUCCAGACUCCUACGGGAGGCAGCAGUAGGGAAUCUUCCGCAAUGGGCGAAAGCCUGACGGAGCAACGCCGCGUGAGUGAUGAAGGUCUUCGGAUCGUAAAACUCUGUUAUUAGGGAAGAACAAAUGUGUAAGUAACUAUGCACGUCUUGACGGUACCUAAUCAGAAAGCCACGGCUAACUACGUGCCAGCAGCCGCGGUAAUACGUAGGUGGCAAGCGUUAUCCGGAAUUAUUGGGCGUAAAGCGCGCGUAGGCGGUUUUUUAAGUCUGAUGUGAAAGCCCACGGCUCAACCGUGGAGGGUCAUUGGAAACUGGAAAACUUGAGUGCAGAAGAGGAAAGUGGAAUUCCAUGUGUAGCGGUGAAAUGCGCAGAGAUAUGGAGGAACACCAGUGGCGAAGGCGACUUUCUGGUCUGUAACUGACGCUGAUGUGCGAAAGCGUGGGGAUCAAACAGGAUU